rnacentral:tRNA from 1 species
AUCGCCGCGUGGUCGCCGGCCGCGACGCCGAGCUUGACGUGCCCGUCGCCGAGCUUCGCGUCCUCGGCGGCGAUG